rnacentral:tRNA from 12 species
AGAUGGAUAGCUCAAAUUGGUAGAGCAUAUGAUUUGUAAUCAUUGAUUGUUGGUUCAAAUCCGACUCCAUCUU